UACGGGGGGGGCAAGCGUUGUCCGGAAUCACUGGGCGUAAAGGGCGCGUAGGUGGCGCGGGCAGUCAACGGUGAAAGUUCGGGGCUCAACCCUGAAUCGGCCGUCGAUACUCCCGUGCUUGAGCACUGUAGAGGCAGAUGGAAUUCCGGGUGUAGCGGUGGAAUGCGUAGAGAUCCGGAAGAACACCGGUGGCGAAGGCGGUCUGCUGGGCAGUAGCUGACACUGAGGCGCGACAGCGUGGGGAGCAAACAGG
rnacentral:rRNA from 1 species